CAGAAAGCCAAGCUAAAAUGUGCACACUAAAGAUAUGAAAAAGAUAACAGUCAGGAGCAACUGUAGUAAACACAUAACAUUACAAACAGAUUAAAUUACCACAAAGGGACAGAUAAACUUCCUUAGUUAAAUUACAAUAAUUAACCACAGUAUAGAAUUCCCUGAGGUUUAGUAAAGCAAUCAUUCAUUGCACAAGUACUAUUUAUGAAACACUUUCCAUCUAUCAACAAUUCAACCAUUUUUUAAAGUGUCUUUUAUGUACCAGACAGAGUUCAAGGAGCGAGGGAUGCAACAGUGAACUGAACACAUAAGAUGCCUUGUCAGCACAGAGCUUACAUUUUAGUGGGGGAAGCAGGAACAAGUUAUGUAGGUGAGAUACACAGAAUGCUGCAUAGCAUUAAUCCUCCCAACAGUCGUGACAAGUGAGAGUUAUUACCUCAUGUUUCAGAAGAGGAACGUAUAAACUAUGUUAACUAGAAUUUCUGUCAUUUCUUCCCUUUCCAACAACGUGAUGAUUAAAUAACAUGUUCCAUCAGGUUGGACUGGGGCUCUACAGAGCUGUGGUGGGCCAUGACAAUGUGGUGCCUUUUACCCACCCAGGGUAGAACAACCCACGGCCCAGAGAGUAGAGCUAAUGCCCAAAUGUUGUACAACAGCAAGUCCGGAAAUGAGUCUUCAAGGGGCUGGGCAGAAGAUAAGAGAAUCUUGAAAUGAAGGAAUGGGAAAAGUAUCAAAGGGAUGGAAAAAAUUUCUGCUAGAUUUGGCAAGAAGGAGAAUGUGAAUAUUUCUUGAAGGCCAGGUUCAGUGGUGUGGAAGAGGCAGAAACCAGAAUGCAGUAGCCUGAGCAGUGGCAGAAAAGUAUGUGAAACUAGCUCACAUAGAAGAGAGGAGUCAACAAAUAGAAUUAAGAAGUUUAAGAAAAAGAAUAAAUUUAAUUAUGACCAAAGGAAUGAUGGAGCCCUCUGUGAAACAGCAGACACUGAAAGACUAUGAAGAAUCCCAUGAUCAGUGGAGGGAGAGAAAAACAUCAAGGAGCAAGGGACCGAGUAGGCAAAGAUGCAGGAUUAGAUUAUUGGAUACUGAUUUGAGACAUCCUUGGUUGGAGAAAUAUUUGGAAGGUAAAUUCACCAGGACUGUUAACUGUUUAGGUGUGAGAUCAGAGAGACGGUCAAGAGUCCCAAAAGUUUCCCUAUUUUUAGCAGAGAGACUUCCAUGUGCAAGGAAGUUUAAAUUAAUUUCACAAGAAGAUACACUAGUGUCAGUGGGUGGAGUAACUGUGGGAAAGGACAAGGAUUUCUCAUUUGUGAAAUGCUGUUUCUGUGCUGGUCUCCAAGCUGGUACUUUACAUACCAAUUUCCACUUAGUAUAACAAAGAUAUUUCUCUAAAGCACAAUUGUUUGAAAAUAAAAAGUGGCACCUGAGGAGGACGAAAAUGCCU
rnacentral:lncRNA from 1 species